rnacentral:lncRNA from 1 species
UUAAGCAUAAACCAUCUCUGAGAUGAUGAGAUUAAUUGGGUAUCUCCUAAUCAUUGCUCAAGCAAGAUACACCAGCACAUUUUGGUAGUGAUAUGCUUCGCUUCUGCUAUAGGUUGCUAUCUUAUUUAUGUUUCUCCUUAGUUCGAGGUCAUUUUGCUCUUGAAGAGCUCAAUGCUUAUGUUUUCCAUACAAUGGCUUCCAUCUCCACCAAAUUCUCUUAGUAGUGGAUCCAAUGCC